GAGGGGCCUUGUUCAAGAGUCCCCCCACUUCAUAUAUAUAUAUAUAAACAACAAACAUAUUAAAAAUGAACACCCUGGUAUAAGUUAUAACCAUUCAUUUGCCUACUCUUCGCUUAUCUCUAAGACUUGCAUAGUCUCUCUGUUUUUCCAUAAUAUAUAUAACUACACACUACUAACAAACGUACCCCAUGUCUUGGAUAAUCUCCAAAAAGCCAAACAAUCUCACAGAAGCUGAAGCUGACGUUAAUACUACAUACAAGCCGCCCAUAAAAAAAGAUGAAGGAGAAAAUAAUAAUAAGAGCAUAAGCAGCCAUUUGUACUUGAAGCCCGUUCACACCUCAGGAACACUAGACAAACAAGUCGUCCUCCGCCGCAUUCGCCACCACAAGCGCGUUAACAACCUCCGAACUAUAGCCAAUUCUCUCCUCGGCUCUCUCUUCCCUUCCAAAAAGACUAAGGAAUAUCAUAAUAACACCGUCGUUAAAGUCGACGAGACGACGAGGUGGAUCGAUAACGCUUUUGCGGCUCCUUAGUUAUUCGCCGGUGGGUUGGUGUUUGUAAAUAUGUUUGUUUGGUAAGAUGUCCCUUAAUUUCUCUAUAAUUUUAUAAAUAAAAUUUAUUGGUUAUUGAAUUAAGAAUUUCUUAUGUGAAUAAGUCAUGUAAUUCAAAAUAAAGGGUAAUUAAAUCUUUUAAGGAUUUAUAUCAUCUAUAUUGGCUUUGAUUUUUCUUUUUUAACACUAAUAACGUGAAUACAAUUUUAUGUGUUUUCAAAAAUAUUCAAGGUCUUCUAUCAAUCCAAG
rnacentral:lncRNA from 1 species